rnacentral:rRNA from 1 species
UACGAAGGGAGCUAGCGUUGUUCGGAAUCACUGGGCGUAAAGCGCACGUAGACGGAUUUGUAAGUCAGGGGUGAAAUCCCGGGGCUCAACCUCGGAACUGCCUUUGAUACUGCAAAUCUCGAGUCCGAUAGAGGUGGGUGGAAUUCCUAGUGUAGAGGUGAAAUUCGUAGAUAUUAGGAAGAACACCGGUGGCGAAGGCGGCCCACUGGAUCGGUACUGACGCUGAGGUGCGAAAGCGUGGGGAGCAAACGGG